GAUGAACGCUGGCGGCGUGCUUAACACAUGCAAGUCGAGCGAACAGACGAGGAGCUUGUUCCUCUGACGUUAGCGGCGGACGGGUGAGUAACACGUGGAUAAUCUACUUAUAAGACUGGGAUAAUUUCGGGAAACCGGAGCUUAUACCGGAUAAUAUAUUGAACCGCAUGGUUCAAUAGUGAAUGACGGCUUUGCUGUCUCUUAUAGAUGGUUCGGCGCCGCAUUAGCUAGUUGGUAAGGUAACGGCUUACCAAGGCUACGAUGCGUAGCCGAGCUGAGAGGGUGAUCGGCCGCACUGGAGCUGAGACACGGUCCAGACUCCUGCGGGAGGCAGCAGUAGGGAAUCUUCCGCAAUAGGCGGAAGCCUGACGGAGCAGCGCCGCGUGAGUGAUGAAGGUCUUCGGAUCGUGAAACUCUGUUAUUAGGGAAGAACAAAUGUGUAAGUAACUAUGCACGUCUUGACGGUACCUAAUCAGAAAGCCACGGCUAACUACGUG
rnacentral:rRNA from 1 species